CUCUGCUUUGCCCUCCUCAGACUGGCUACUGUGCUUUACUCUAAGGCUUUGAGGUUCCCCCCCUGUCCCAGCUGAUCUCCCUACCAGCCGGGGGCUUCUAGGGUGCAGAUUCCUUUCCUCUUUAACAGCUCCUUCCCAGGAGUGCUGGUCCUGUCCUGUUUCCUCUCUUUUUUUCCUUUUGUCCUACCCAAUUAUGUGGAGAUUGUCUUGCCUUUUUGGAAGUCUGAGGUCUUCUGCCAGCCUUCAGUAGAUGUUCUGUGAGAAUCAUUCUAUAGGUAGAUGUGGGGGUUUGGGGUAUAUUUGUGGGAGAGGGUGAGCUCCACAUCCUGCUCCUUCAACCAUCUUGAUUCCACUCCCUCAAUAUAAUUCUUAGUAGUUCCAUAUAGUGUAUUGUGAGGAUGUUCCAUUCAUUGUUAAUUAUCCCUAAUUUCUUGGGUGUUUGGUUUCUUUCUCAGUUUGUCUUCCUUUCACUGACAAGUAAGACCAAUCAUCUUUUUUCUCGUAUGACUAUUUUUUUUUUUUUUUUUUUUUUGCAGAAGAUGGCACUGUUUCCUAGAAAAGUGAGUGAAGUUACCCUUGACCAAUUAAGUUUAUAACAUCAAAAAGAGAGUCUCUUCCUUCCUCUGCUCCUCAACAUGAGGCGAGGGAAAGGGAUGAAGCAGAGACUCAAGAAGAUGGAAAGGAGGACGGCGUUUGGUUAAGGACGGAGAGCAAGAACAGGAGUCCAGCUCUAGGCUGGCCUCUCAGUUGGACUGUCUGAUCUUGUGUGAGUCAUUCUUUUUUUUACUGACAUAGCAGUAUGUAGAGAGAAGGAGCACAGGCUUGAGAAAUACAUAUACCUGGCUGGAACCUUCAUUUUAGCUCUUACCAACCAGACCAUGUGACCUUAGGACUGGACUUAAUCUCUUUGAGCCUUGGUUCCCUCAUUUUCAACGUGUGACUAUCAAUAAGCCACCCUCCAAGUCUGUUUGGGGAAUCCAGUGAGAUUAUUUUGGUGAAACACCUGACACAGUGUUCGGUACCUGGCACAUACCCGGUAAGUAGAGCUUUUCAUUAUCUUUAAAGUAAGUGGUUAGAUCAGUUCCCGCUGAGCUUAGUUAGCAUUUUGUUAUCCAGGAUGUGGUGGACUGGCAUCCACGUGCGAUCUCAGCAAGUAACAUACUGAUACUCCACCCCCAUCACACAUGCAGAAGCCAUGCACUAGUAGAGCUCCCGGGCACAUAGAGCAGGUCACAUUACAGGCACAGAUUGGCCUGGCAUGGAGGCUGGACACCCCAUAACUGUUUGAAGACUUGGUUGCUUGAGCCACAUUUUCAUCCUCCCAUGGCUGAGUGAUCUAUUUUUUUUCCCCAAAGUUGCUAUAAAAUCAGAGAUGAGAGCUAGUACUGAAUCAAAGAACUGUGGUUCUUUGUCACAUACACUCUCUUGGGUUCCAUCCAACCUUAUUUUAAAUAUCUUUAGGGAUGGGCUUUUAUCACUUUUCUUGGAAGGUUUUCUUUAAAUAAUAAUUUUUUGCUGUCAUAAAGUUUUCUCUCCCAUUCAGGGAAAAAUUUUUCUUUCCUCCCUUAUACUCUUUUAGCCAUCCUGUCCUCAAUC
rnacentral:lncRNA from 1 species